rnacentral:rRNA from 1 species
AUUGAACGCUGGCGGCAGGCCUAACACAUGCAAGUCGAACGAGUGGCGGACGGGUGAGUAAUGUCUGGGAAACUGCCCGAUGGAGGGGGAUAACUACUGGAAACGGUAGCUAAUACCGCAUACCAUCGGAUGUGCCCAUAUGGGAUUAGCUUGUAGGUGGGGUAACGGCUCACCUAGGCGACGAUCCCUAGCUGGUCUGAGAGGAUGACCAGCCACACUGGAACUGAGACACGGCCCAGACUCCUACGGGAGGCAGCAGUGGGGAAUAUUGCACAAUGGGCGCAAGCCUGAUGCAGCAAUGCCGCGUGUAUGAAGAAGGCCUUAGGGUUGGAAAGUACUUUCAGCGGGGAGGCGUUACUCGCAGAAGAAGCACCGGCUAACUCCGUGCCAGCAGCCGCGGUAAUAC